CACGUAGGUGACAAGCGUUAUCCGGAUUUACUGGGCGUAAAGGGUCCGUAGGUGGCCUUCAAGGUCUGGUGUGAAAUCCCCCGGCUCAACUGGGGGGAGCCACUGGAAACCGGGAGGCUGGAGUCACACAGAGGUCACUCGAAUUCCCGGUGUAGUGGUGGAAUGCGUAGAGAUCGGGAGGAAGACCAGAGGCGCAAGCGGGUGACUGGGUGCUGACUGACACUGA
rnacentral:rRNA from 1 species